rnacentral:lncRNA from 1 species
AUACAUGAAGAAAUUGCUAUUAAACUGAAUACUUUGUGUUGACCCUAGGCUUAGUUUCAUUUCCAGAAUCAGGGAAUCAGAUAUUUAUGUUAAAAGAUUAUGUUAAUUCUCCCAAUAGAAAGCUAAUUUUAUAUUCAGGAAAAAAGUACACAAGGUGGUGUUGGAGCUUCUUGUAGCGCUAGAAAGUAGUAAGGAAUUGCUAAAACACAUAAAAGGUAUAUAUCAUCCACCUGAUGGUUUUGAUGCUGGGCAAGUGAGCCCCCAAACAGGGGCUUAGCCUGGAAGGGUUUUUAGAUUCACCUAGGAAAGAAUUCAAGGGUGAGCUGGUAUGUUAGACAGCAAUUUUUAUUGAGGU